CGCACCUUGCGCUCCUUGGUAUUCCGAGGAGCAUGCCUGUUUGAGUGUCAGUAAAAUUUCAACCCCUCUGAUUUUUUAAUCGGGUAUAUGGGGCUUGGAUGUGGAGGUAUUUGCCGGCCUUCAAAGGUUGACUCCUCUGAAAUGUAUUAGCGGAACUGUUUGCAAUCCGUCACAGGUGUGAUAAUUAUCUAUGCCAGUGGGUUGCUCUCUGUUGUUCAGCUGCCAACUGUCUGCAAGGACAAUCAUUUAAUGAAUAUUUGACCUCAAAUCAGGUAGGACUACCCGCUGAACUUAA
rnacentral:misc_RNA from 1 species